GCAUCACCAGAAGGUGAAGGCUCUGGAGGCUGAGCUACAGGAGUACUCUCUGAAACAGCAGAUAGCAGAGCUGCAGAGCCAGCUGGAACUGAUGGAGGAGGAGAAGAGAGAGACAGAGGGAUGUCUGCAGGAAGUAGAGAAGAAGAACCGUGACCUAGAGAAAAGAGUGCAAGAGCUGCUGCAGGUCCAGAAGAGCACUGAGCC